GCGGAAGUGGCGGAACGGCAGACGCGCACGCCUCAGGAGCGUGUACCCAAAAGGUGUGGGGGUUCAAAUCCCCCCUUCCGCA
rnacentral:tRNA from 1 species